CCUACGGGAGGCAGCAGUGGGGAAUAUUGGACAAUGGGCGAAAGCCUGAUCCAGCAAUGCCGCGUGAGUGAAGAAGGCCUUCGGGUUGUAAAGCUCUUUUACCCGGGAAGAUAAUGACUGUACCGGGAGAAUAAGCCCCGGCUAACUCCGUGCCAGCAGCCGCGGUAAUACGGAGGGGGCUAGCGUUGUUCGGAAUUACUGGGCGUAAAGCGUACGUAGGCGGCUUUGUAAGUCAGAGGUGAAAGCCCACGACUCAAUCGUGGAACUGCCUUUGAGACUGCUUCGCUUGAAGAUGGGAGAGGUUAGUGGAAUUCCGAGUGUAGAGGUGAAAUUCGUAGAUAUUCGGAAGAACACCAGUGGCGAAGGCGGCUAACUGGACCAUUCUUGACGCUGAGGUACGAAAGCGUGGGGAGCAAACAGGAUUAGAUACCCUGGUAGUCCACGCCGUAAACGAUGAUAACUAGCUGUCGGGGCUCUUGGAGCUUCGGUGGCGCAGCUACGACAUAAGUUAUCCGUCCGUCGGGUAGGUACGGCCGGCCGAACGGUUAAAACGUAACGAAAGGAAAGUAGUACGGACGUGAGACGUCGCCGAACGGACGACGACGACGGGGAGGUAGG
rnacentral:rRNA from 1 species